UGUCAAAAACAGACAAGUGUGUAGCAAUCUGUAUACUUCGUACACUUCUGGUACCUCAAAAACUCUGAAAAGUUAUGACGGCCUGGACAAAAAGCAUAUCUACGAGCAGCAAAAAUAAUCAACUCAAAAGCUCUUUCUGAAUAAAAAUGAAAAAUCAUCUCGUGAGCGAAAAGUUUCUGUCUUUUUUCAGCAGGAUCAAACAACCAUUACCUAGACUAGUCAUAAAGGUUUUGCUUGGC
rnacentral:lncRNA from 1 species